AUGUAUGCUAAGCUAUCGAUUUUCUAAUGAUAGUAUAACUCUAAUGAUGGUAGAAACGUGAGCAUUGAAGGAGAACGUGCAAGUGAUAGAAUAGUUGAACGGAAAGAUACGGAUAUGGAUGUAUGUACACAAUCACGCAUUAGAAAUGGAAAGUCCCUAUGAAAAGCAAGUGGCCAGGGAGACAGGCUUGAUCCAUAGCUUUAUUACUCAGGGACUACAUAGCGGAGCUCCAUUUCAUUCGGAGCUACAACUUUUG